GAUGAACGCUGGCGGCGUGCCUAAUACAUGCAAGUCGAGCGAACGGACGAGAAGCUUGCUUCUCUGAUGUUAGCGGCGGACGGGUGAGUAACACGUGGAUAACCUACCUAUAAGACUGGGAUAACUUCGGGAAACCGGAGCUAAUACCGGAUAAUAUUUUGAACCGCAUGGUUCAAAAGUGAAAGACGGUCUUGCUGUCACUUAUAGAUGGAUCCGCGCUGCAUUAGCUAGUUGGUAAGGUAACGGCUUACCAAGGCAACGAUGCAUAGCCGACCUGAGAGGGUGAUAGGCCACACUGGAACUGAGACACGGUCCAGACUCCUACGGGAGGCAGCAGUAGGGAAUCUUCCGCAAUGGGCGAAAGCCUGACGGAGCAACGCCGCGUGAGUGAUGAAGGUCUUCGGAUCGUAAAACUCUGUUAUUAGGGAGGAACAUAUGUGUAAGUAACUGUGCACAUCUUGACGGUACCUAAUCAGAAAGCCACGGCUAACUACGUGCCAGCAGCCGCGGUAAUACGUAGGUGGCAAGCGUUAUCCGGAAUUAUUGGGCGUAAAGCGCGCGUAGGCGGUUUUUUAAGUCUGAUGUGAAAGCCCACGGCUCAACCGUGGAGGGUCAUUGGAAACUGGAAAACUUGAGUGCAGAAGAGGAAAGUGGAAUUCCAUGUGUAGCGGUGAAAUGCGCAGAGAUAUGGAGGAACACCAGUGGCGAAGGCGACUUUCUGGUCUGUAACUGACGCUGAUGUGCGAAAGCGUGGGGAUCAAACAGGAUUAGAUACCCUGGUAGUCCACGCCGUAAACGAUGAGUGCUAAGUGUUAGGGGGUUUCCGCCCCUUAGUGCUGCAGCUAACGCAUUAAGCACUCCGCCUGGGGAGUACGACCGCAAGGUUGAAACUCAAAGGAAUUGACGGGGACCCGCACAAGCGGUGGAGCAUGUGGUUUAAUUCGAAGCAACGCGAAGAACCUUACCAAAUCUUGACAUCCUUUGACAACUCUAGAGAUAGAGCCUUCCCCUUCGGGGGACAAAGUGACAGGUGGUGCAUGGUUGUCGUCAGCUCGUGUCGUGAGAUGUUGGGUUAAGUCCCGCAACGAGCGCAACCCUUAAGCUUAGUUGCCAUCAUUAAGUUGGGCACUCUAAGUUGACUGCCGGUGACAAACCGGAGGAAGGUGGGGAUGACGUCAAAUCAUCAUGCCCCUUAUGAUUUGGGCUACACACGUGCUACAAUGGACAAUACAAAGGGCAGCGAAACCGCGAGGUCAAGCAAAUCCCAUAAAGUUGUUCUCAGUUCGGAUUGUAGUCUGCAACUCGACUACAUGAAGCUGGAAUCGCUAGUAAUCGUAGAUCAGCAUGCUACGGUGAAUACGUUCCCGGGUCU
rnacentral:rRNA from 1 species